GUUGUUUACAAUGGAGUACAACUUUCUUGGACGUUCUGGGUUGCGUGUAUCAAACAUCUGUUUGGGAACGAUGACAUUUGGUCACCAGCGGUGGGGUAAAUUGGACAAAGCAGGUUGUCAUGAAAUCCUGGACCGAUUUAUUGCUCUAGGUGGAAAUUUUAUUGAUACAGCAAAUAUGUACACCAAGGGAGUAUCAGAAACCAUUAUUGGCGAAUGGCUUGUAAAACAGAACAGAGAGGAUCUAGUCAUUGCCACCAAAGUAAGAUCACCCAUGGGGGAUGGUGUCAAUGACAUAGGUCUCAGUAGGAAACACAUCAUGGCCAGCUGUGAAGCGAGUCUGAGGCGUCUUCAAACAAACUACAUCGACCUUUAUUACGUAAAGUACAUGGUUGGGACGAUGCCACUCCCCCUGAGGAAUGGAUGGGAGCUCUAACGGAUCUUGUCAAUGCUGGAAAGGUGCGGUAUCUUGGAGUAUCUAACCUAUGUGGGUGGCAAAUGCAGAAAGUAGUCAACCUCUGCAAAUAUGAAAAGUACCCACUGAUCGUUUGUUUACAGCAACAGUAUAAUCUACUCUGUCGACAUCCAGAGUUUGAAGAAUUCCAAGUCUGCAAAAUGGAAGGUCUUGGUGUUUUGCCUUGGAGUCCUUUGAAAGGUGGCAUGUUAUCGGGUAAAUAUAAGCGUGGAGUUAGACCACAGAUUUCGGCAGGAAGAAUUGGAGUUGUUGCUCAAGACGAGUCGAUGGCACUAGAGGUAGCUCCGGCCUGGAGCCAGUAUGAUCAAAAUGAGGACUUCUGGAAACUCGUGGAGGGAAUGGAGAGGAUCGCCAAAGAAAACGGUUUUCCCGACUUAAAAAGAUUUUUCAAAAACUGAUUAAAUUACAAUUAGAUGCUAAAUUUUAAUUUUGGGAUUAUAUUAUUAUAUUUAUAAUAAACGCUAACAUCCAAAAUACAAUUUGUUCCAAUUUGUUCCAAUUUAUCGCAUCGUUGGCAAAAUGGACAAAAGUAUUUGGUCAAAUAUACAACUAAAAGUCUAAAAACCAUUGGAUACACUGUGAGACUCACAACUUUUACAUCAUUUUAGUUUGAAAAUUAUUUUAGAGGACAUUUAAAUCUUAGGCGAUUAUCUAUAAUGCAAUAUAAAGGUUUUUUUAUUCAAGGGAAUUAAUUUAUAAAAAAAACAGUGGCAAGUAGAUUAUACAUGUUAUCAAUCUUUGUUUUCACUCACUAUGCUUAUGUUUUCUGAAAAGGAAAGACAAUACCCCAGGUAGCCAUUAAGUGGUUGCUGCAAAAGGACGUGGUUCCGUCUGUGGUCAUUGGCGCCAACAGUCUGCAACAGCUAGAAGACAACAUCAGUGCUGCUCAUAACUGGAAACUCUCAAAGGAACAGAUGGAAGAACUUGACUCUCUCUCUAAUCCUGGUACCCCGUAUCCAUAUGAGAUGAUUUGGAGAAUGAACGCUAAAAGGGUUAACUCAUUCAAUCCUCAGCCGACUGUCACAAAUUCCGUGUAAAAUGUAAAGAUUUACAAGAAGACUUUGUUAUAUCUUAAACUAUUCUUUGUGUGUUACGUGGCAUAAACAUUUAAAUUUUCUUAAUCAUGAACUUGUGAAUUGUUCAUUUAUGUACAAUAAAUCACAAAAAGG
rnacentral:misc_RNA from 1 species